rnacentral:lncRNA from 1 species
AAAAAAAAAAAAAAAGUCUUGCAAUGCUUAUAAAUGUUUGACUUCUUUUUGUUUAAGUUGCCAUAAUGUAGCAUUAGUUCAUGGAAGUGCAUUUGCUUGCUUGUAUGCGCAGGACAAAUGGCGGAACUUGAGCGUUAGUAAUGCUGCACAAGGUUCUAAUCCUAAAACAAGAGGGGCCCCUAAACCUAAAAUCUUACCACUUCCUCCACCCUCUAACGCCAAUGCUCAAAUUACUGCUACUGCUGAUGCUCUUAUGGAUGACUGUUUAAACAAUGCAGCAGAUGGAAAAAAUGCCCCAAGGUUAUUAUCCAUUUCUCUGUCGUGUUUGUUUCUAGUACUCUAAGUGGCUGUCAUGUUGUUUCUUUUAUGAUUUUUUGGUGGAAAGUAAAUCUUCUCUGAAGUUUUGUGAAUUAGUUGAUAGCAUUGCUGGUUUUAUGUUUGUGUCUCUGUAGUUAAAAACCUAUUUCCCGUUAGAUUUACUGCAUAUUCAAUUGCAAAAAGAGUUGUUUCAGAUUCUGAAUAUGAUUGAAAAGGUUAUAUAAGGGUUGAGGUUUCAAAAGAAAAUAAAACUGAAGGUAACAUUUGUUAUAUUUCUACAAGUGAUAGAAAUUUGGUUAGAGGACCAACUGGUGACAAUCAGGAUUACUUCAGGAAAAAAAAAAAAGCUGACCCUGCUGACAUCAUGUAGACAAAGAGGCUAAACUACAUAUGAUACACUAAUGCUAUGUGGCCAAUGCUACAAUUCACAAUUGAAAUUAGUUUUGAUUUUUAUUUCAUGUGGCCAGUUUGUGAUUCAAAAGUAUGGAAUUAUGUCAUCAUUCAACAAGAUCCAUAUGGUUAUUAUCUGUGGUUCUAGUUGAGGUCAAGUCUGAACCUUGCAAAUUAUUUAAUCUACUUCAUAUAUCGCACUUUAUUGAUGCUGCUCUAGUAAUCUUAGUGGUAUUUAGUGAUUUGUAGCUUAUUUUCUGAUUACCUCUUGAAUUCUUUAGCCUUUUGGUAUAUACAAGAAUUUUACUUAUCAACUUUUUCCUUUGUUUCCUUUUCCUAUAUAGUGAUACUUGAUACUGUUUUUCUGCUGAUCAGGUACAACGCAAUGAUUUUUGAAGCUCUUUCAACCCUAAAAGAUAUAAAUGGAUGUGAUAUUAGUGCUAUUGUUCACUUCAUUGAGGUGAGAUGGAUCUCUCUUGUUAGUUAUUAUCUAUAUAUUUUUGUUGUUUGUUUUCAAUNNNAGAGAUUAAACAUUAGAAAAUAUAUGGAAGUGAAUAUGUUUAAUAUCUGACUGCGUGAACUGAUUUUUGGAUCCCUUUAUCGUUGCUCUUUAAAGCUUAGAGUGGAAUUGCUAGAUCAUGGAUUGUGUUUGUGAUUCUUCCUGGUUCUGACGUCAUCAUGUCAUUAAUAUGAUUUACCAUGGGAUUGCUAGUUGCCAUGUCACAAUCCUAGUAGUAACUUGUUUCUCAUAUAAUGUUAAUACAUAGAAAAUACAGAGUACUGGUAGGUCUCGGGACACUCUGAUGGCAAUAUAAACAGCACUUGUUUAGAACAGUAAGAAAUCCCUUGUUUAUUGCGUGUCCCUCAUGUGACUUAUGCUAUGUUGAAGAACUGUUUGUCUUUUUUAUUUUGUUAGAGAGAGGAGAAACUAAGAUUCCUGGUAACACUGAUUGUCUAUUAUGAAUUCACGAUUACAUGCCACUUAAUACAUAGAUCUAUACUAUGUGAUUUAAAAUUAAGGAAAGCAGCAGCCAUACCGUAAAUAAUUAUGCAUGUAUGGACCAGCUUCAUCUAAUGUUUGUGGUGUAAGUGGUUCAAGUUGUGAUUUUAACUUCACACACAAAGCAUUAAACAGAGCCAUUGAAUUUUGGCACUUUUUUGCUCCCUUAUUUUCUUCCUUCACUUUAUUUAUUCCCAUGCGAGCAGCAUGUUGCAGAGGCGUGAUAUAAAUAUGGACAGAUAUACUUAUUCUUCUUGCAGUAACCUUUUUAAUCUUUGAAUCUGCUCUGUUCAUUAAUAUUCCUGUUUAAUUUUGUACGAGUUCAGAUUGUGACAGUCUAUACAUGUGAUGCAGCAAAGGCAUGAAGUGCCACAAAAUUUUAGAAGGUUAUUAGGUUCAAGGUUGAGAAGGCUUGUGUCACAAGGAAAACUGGAAAAGGUGAAGAAAACUUCUUGAUGCUACAGUUGCACAUGAUUUCUAUCAGUUUGUUUUCCUCCACUUUAUAUUCACAACAUCUCGAUCAGGCUAAUGUCACAUGGUAAAAUAUGAUCACUACUCGAUUCAAAUACAUGAGGUCAUUCCCACACUUCAAAAGCCGAUGUUGGAUUCAUGGUUCUUGACAUGGUGGAUACAUUUUGCUGCCUCAAUAUGUGAUUGCAUCUCGCUUUCUGCAUGUCAUCAAUUUGCAGGUCCAAAAUGGCUAUAGAAUCAGCAAAGAUGCUGCACUGGGAGCUAAGACACCAACGCCAAGACAAAAGGAUGUCAGGCCGCGACAGUCACAGAAUUCUGGAUUAACUUCUGGCGAGACUGUGGAAGAGGCAGCUAUUGCUGCUGCUUAUAAAGUUGCUGAAGCAGAAAAUAAAUCAUUUUUAGCAGCUGAAGCAGUUAAGGAGGCAGAAAGAGUAUCAAAGAUGGCAGAAGAUACCGACUCAAUGCUCCAGUUAGUGAAAGAUAUAUAUGAGCAAUGUAAAUGCUGAAAGUAUUUCCUAUCUAUUUGAAUAUUCACUCAUGCCAUUGUCUUGGAAUUUAACAACUUCUAUUUUUGCAGGCUCACGAGGUGAAAUUGUUCUCCUGGCUUGAUUUAGGAAAAAUCAAAAUUCUUAGUAUUCAAAUCUUUAUGUAAAUUUUUUUCCAUGAGUGGCACUAACUUGUGUUGCAUUAGGAACCAUGCCAUCUUUCUUUUACCUUUUACUUUUUCUUUUUAGGUGAAAGAAACUACAUCUUCACAAGUGAAAUCUCUCGGCUUGAGCAGUUGAAUGUACAAUUAGGGAAAUCAAAAACAUUCUUAGUUUUCAAACUUGUAUGUAAAUUUCAUUGAAUCAAUGAAACAGUUUUGAGUUCCUUGCUUCUACUAAAUGUCAUUUCUUCAGUUGUAUUGAGAAAGCUGUCUUUAUAUCUCUGUUUUUUUUUUUAAGGCAAAUUUUGUCCCCCUAGUGCUGUCUUGAUUCUGCAUUUUAGCUCAUGCAAAAUUAAGUACUGCAUUUUCUUUUUUACAUAAAUGUUCUAACUUUACGUCUUGAUGUCAGCAUUCAUUUAGCAAACAUGACUCAUCUUAUAAUCAAAACCUAACUGGUGAUGAGAUUCUGACCAAUAUCUAGGAAUUGAAUUAAAUUAAAUUCUUGCACAUGAUUUAUUCCAAAUGCAGCAGACACAGCAGAAACCCAAACAGAUAAGCACUAAUACCACGGAAAACUAAAACAAAGAACCAGUGAGUACCUUAAACAAGGAUGGUUUCAAAUAUUCAGACCGAGUCUUGACAAGUUUGUAACAAGAGCCAAUAAUCCAUAAAUGCCUAAGAAAUUCACAACAUUGAAAACUGACAAAAUUUGUUUGUUCAACCAGCAGAAUGAGAUCCACAUUCUAGGCUCAGACUGUUGUAGUUGAUGCAAACUUACAACCAAAAUGAUAAGCAAGGUUUACUACAAAAUAAAAAUGUAAAAGAGAAACCUCUCAUUAGUCCAAGAAGCAAUAUAAAUUUCAGCGUCCAGACUAUAACAGCACAAGCCCAAGUUCUGCAGGCUUCAAUGUUUGUCUAAUCCGGUAAUUGUAAAGAUAAUAGUGAAGUUUCCCAUCCCCAGGCCCAAAUUUCAGCUCCCUCAAGAAAGACUCAUUGUGCAUGACAUCCAGAGCAUUGAAGACAUCAAAGUCUUUGCGUUUUGCAACAAUUAGAGCAUCAUUCAUUAGCUGAAGCAAAGGAGUCUUAGUAGAAAUAUUGUAAUAAGAGUAAGCUGCCUUCAGACUUGAAUAAUUCUGAUUACCCAGGAUGGAUGAAGGAAGCGUAUAAAAGCUGCAGAAAUCAGUGAUGUCACGAGUCUCAGGACUUUCAACCACAAAACUGUCCACCACAUCUUCUUUUGGCAGAAGCCAGUGCUCCACAUCAUUUUCAUCAAAAUCAGGUGCAACAAUAAACUGACUGAGAUAGUUCCUAAUUAGCCUAGUAACAGCAGGAACAUCAUGGAGCUCCAUCUUUCUAAACCCUGAGGUAGCAGUCGACUCAGGUAACUUAUAAAGCUUGAUUGUCCGGCUCAUUGUCAUCCUUGCACCAAGUCUAGAAAAACCUACAUCAAUCAGCUUCUUAGGAUUCAAAGAUCUAUGCCAAUAUUGGCAAGUUGCUACUGGUGUUGGAAGAACCACUCCAGCAGUAUAAGCAGCUUGCCAGACGUUUUCCAAGUGAACUCUCCUUGUCACCUCCUUAAUCAUGACAGGAGCAAGUCUUUUUGAUCUUAGCUUCUUAUGAACACACAAGAAAUUAAUUUCUGCCAUUUUAACAAUUUCAUCACGAACCCGCAUUCUGGCAGGAACACCAGUUAUAAAAGCCACUAACUUCUUUGAACUUUUUACACGGACACCAAUAUGCCAGCUCUUCAAAUAACUAGGUGGCUGAAGAGCCCAGCGGAGAAACUCCUUCGAGUAGUUAAAUCUGAACAUAUUUUCAUCAUCCUCAACAUAGUUAUUAGUCAAAAGAUUGUAAACCUCGGUGCAUGUCUCUUCAGAGUCAAUAUCACAGGUGACCCAUUCAUAGAGGUUGGGAAGGUUGUAUGGUUCUUGUUUGACCUCCAAUAGAGGCGUGGAGGUUCAAUUGGACCUUCAAUCAAACUGGUGUCCCCAGCAUCUUUGANNNNNNNNNNNNNNNNNNNNNNNNNNNNNNNNNNNNNNNNNNNNNNNNNNNNNNNNNNNNNNNNNNNNNNNNNNNNNNNNNNNNNNNNNNNNNNNNNNNNNNNNNNNNNNNNNNNNNNNNNNNNNNNNNNNNNNNNNNNNNNNNNNNNNNNNNNNNNNNNNNNNNNNNNNNNNNNNNNNNNNNNNNNNNNNNNNNNNNNNNNNNNNNNNNNNNNNNNNNNNNNNNNNNNNNNNNNNNNNNNNNNNNNNNNNNNCCACAUUUACAAAGAAUGGUAAGACAAUAAGAACAUGAGCGAAUAAAAACUGAACGAAUUUAGAACCAAUACACCAUCAAUGCUGCAACAGCAAAGACAAAGUAAACAAAUAUACAGAACUCAUCUUCCUGAUAAAGCAAACAUAAGCCCGACAUUGCACACAAGGUGCAAAGCCUCCAAAAAUAAAUGAAAACUAAACCCCUACAUUGUUUAAAGUUCAAUCAAACCUAGUAUAUCCUUCUCAAUACUCUUACUCGGAAUCAAAUAAUUAAACUCUAAAAUUUCUUUGUUGAUAAACUAUGAUCAAGAAAUAGCAAAAACAACACAAACCCAUAUAGCCAGAAGAAAUCUUUAAGGUCCAUUAACGUCUAAAAGUAAAUCUACAACGCCAAGUUUCCCUCUUUCUUCUGAAAAGAAGAAGAAGAAGAAGAAGAAGAAGAAGAAGAAGAGGAAGAAGAAAGGGUGCACUUGCAAGAUCCAUAUGCUACUUAAAACUUGAUUCUUUAAUGCUAUAAUCAAUCAAUUGAAGAUACAUAUUACCUGGGAUUUCUUUGUAAAGUGAAAACAAAGCUUCAAAAUGAUAUAUUUUCGAAGAUCUAGGGUUUGAAUUCGAGGGAGAGAGAAAUCUGUCUUAAAAGAGAGAGACUUUGUACAGAUCGAACAAAGGAAGUAACUUUUGUGAAAUGAGGAUGAGCAAGGACGAUGCUACCCUUUUUCGUAAUUUUGCAGAAUAUCUAUGAACGUGUAGAAACUCAAACUUGGUCUAAUUUUUUAAUUAAUUGCUUAU